GAUGAAGAACGUAGCGAAAUGCGAUACUUGGUGUGAAUUGCAGAAUCCCGUGAACCAUCGAGUCUUUGAACGCAAGUUGCGCCCGAAGCCAUUAGGCCGAGGGCACGCCUGCCUGGGCGUCACACGUCGUUGCCCCCCAUCUACUCCUUCGGGAUUGCGGGGGCGGAUGAUGGCCUCCCGUGCGCCUCGUCGCGCGGUUGGCAUAAAUGCCAAGUCCUCGGCGACGCACGCCACGACAAUCGGUGGUUGCGAAACCUCGGUUGCCCGUCGUGUGCGGUCGUCGCGCAUCGAGGGCUCGAAAAAAUUGCCGGGCUCCGGCUCGGCUUUCAACGCGACCCCAGGUCAGGCGGGGUUACCCGCUGAAUUUAAGCAUAUCAAUAAGCGGAGGA
rnacentral:misc_RNA from 1 species